AGAGCUCAAAUUUGAAAUCUGGCGGUCCCUUGGGCUGUCCGAGUUGUAAUCUAGAGAAGUGCUACCUGUGCUGGACCGUGUACAAGUCUCCUGGAAUGGAGCAUCACAGAGGGUGAGAAUCCCGUCUUUGACACGGACUGCCUGUGCGAUAUGGUGCGCUCUCGAAGAGUCGAGUUGUUUGGGAAUGCAGCUCAAAACGGGUGGUAAAUGCCAUCUAAAGCUAAAUAUUGGCGAGAGACCGAUAGCGAA
rnacentral:rRNA from 1 species